AUUGAACGCUGGCGGCAGGCCUAACACAUGCAAGUCGAACGAGUGGCGGACGGGUGAGUAAUGUCUGGGAAACUGCCUGAUGGAGGGGGAUAACUACUGGAAACGGUAGCUAAUACCGCAUACCAUCGGAUGUGCCCAGAUGGGAUUGGCUAGUAGGUGGGGUAACGGCUCACCUAGGCGACGAUCCCUAGCUGGUCUGAGAGGAUGACGACCCACACUGGAACUGAGACACGGUCCCGAGUCCUACUAAGAUAAACAGGUACAAAUAUUGCACAAUGGGCGCAAGCCUGAUUCAGCCAUGCCGCGUGUAUGAAGAAGGCCUUCGGGUUGUAAAGUACUUUCAGCGGGGAGGCGUUACCCGCAGAAGAAGCACCGGCUAACUCCGUGCCAGCAGCCGCGGUAAUAC
rnacentral:rRNA from 1 species